UACAGAGGUCUCAACCGUUGUCCGGAUUCAUUGGGCGUAAAGAGCGUGUAGGCGGCCAGGUAGGUCGGUUGUGAAAACUGGAGGCUCAACCUUCAGAGGUCGACCGAAACCAUCUGGCUAGAGUCCGGGAGAGGAGAGUGGAAUUCCUGGUGUAGCGGUGAAAUGCGCAGAUAUCAGGAAGAACACCCGUGGCGAAAGCGGCUCUCUGGAACGGUACUGACGCUGAGACGCGAAAGCGUGGGGAGCGAACAGG
rnacentral:rRNA from 1 species